AUUGAACGCUGGCGGCAUGCUUUACACAUGCAAGUCGAACGGUAACAGGCCGCAAGGUGCUGACGAGUGGCGAACGGGUGAGUAAUGCAUCGGAACGUGCCCAGUCGUGGGGGAUAACGCAGCGAAAGCUGCGCUAAUACCGCAUACGAUCUAUGGAUGAAAGCGGGGGACCGUAAGGCCACGCGCGAUUGGAGCGGGCGAUGUCAGAUAAGGUAGUUGGUGGGGUAAAGGCUCACCAAGCCAACGAUCUGUAGCUGGUCUGAGAGGACGACCAGCCACACCGGGACUGAGACACGGCCCAGACUCCUACGGGAGGCAGCAGUGGGGAAUUUUGGACAAUGGGCGCAAGCCUGAUCCAGCAAUGCCGCGUGCAGGAAGAAGGCCUUCGGGUUGUAAACUGCUUUUGUACGGAACGAAAAGGCUCUGGUUAAUACCUGGGGCUCAUGACGGUACCGUAAGAAUAAGCACCGGCUAACUACGUGCCAGCCGCCGCCGUAACAC
rnacentral:rRNA from 1 species